rnacentral:rRNA from 1 species
GGUUAUACGAAGGAUUUAAAUGAAAUAGAUUGGUGGAAUUGAGUAAAUUAUUAUUUCUAGUAAAUUUUUUAAAUAGUGGAUCAAGAGUAAAAUUUUUAAUUCUCUAAGUAAAAAAUUAUAAAAAAAUAUAUAAUCUUUAAAAAUUAGGAUUUAGACUAGGAUUAGAUACCCUAUUAUUCCUUAUUAAGUUAUUUGCCUGGGUAGUAAAAUUUUUUAAACCUAAAGAAUUUGGCGGUACUUCAUUCUUACUAGAGGAACCUGCUCUUGGAUCGAUAAUCCACGUUUUAAUGUACAUGUUUUUGUUUUCAGUUUGUAUACCGCCGUUGUCUGAUUAUUUUCAAAGAUCAUAAUCUAAUUAAUUGUUAAUUAGGACUUCAGGUCAAGGUGCAGCUUAUAAGCAUGGGAGUAGUGGGUUACAAUAAUUUAAAUUUAAACGGAUUGGUAAUUGUAAUUAAUUCUAUGAAGGUGGAUUUAGUAGUAAAUCAAGAAUAAAAUUCUUUUUUGAAUUGAGCUCUGAAGUGUGUACACAUCGCCCGUCGCUCUCUCCUCUUAAGGAGAGAUAAGUCGUAAC